UGAAAUAUUUCGUUUACCCGCCCUGUAUUGCGCCAAAAACUCCUUCAAAAAAAUGAAGGACGGGCGGUUUCGAUGUAGAAGAUGAGAGCAACCAUCAUGAAGUACUAUCUAGCAACAUAGAAACAAACCCUAGCACCACCACUUCAAGCUGCAUAUUGUUUCAUCAAAUUCACCCCAAACCCACCAAUCAAACCCGAAGCUAAUCCCGCAAACCAACCCAAAUAAGCAAAUUCCCAAUACGCGAAUACCCUGUUCCACUAAAACCAGACAAACAAUCCCCCGGGGAAAACUUUCUAGCAGAUUGGAUGGAGCGGCGAAGAUGAAGAUUUAGAAUAAAAUAUUGUGGAGAAAUAUUUUCAGGCAACUUAGGCUUUGGGAAAAUGUUUGGAGGCGUAUUCUGGUUAUUUUCAGGCAAUUAGAGAAGUGGCGCCAACGGUGAAGCAGUUGUUGGUAGAGAAGGUAAAUUGUUUUAAGGAGAACUUUUUUCCUUUUAUGUCAUUUAGAAUUUUGAGAGGUGGGGGUCAGUGUAGCUAAAGGGAAUCGGGUGUUGGAAUGGAUUUCGCUGUAAUUUACAUUUGGAUUGAAUUUAUAUUUGCUACAUUCCACAUACUUGACAUUAUCAGUAAUCAUGGUAUUGUGUUUAUGAUGCUUCUUAUGGUUUAAGCACUUGAAUGUGCCGCUUUUUUUUUAACUAAAAGUAUCUUUCUAUCCUCAUAUUUCACAUAUUGAGAGAAAUUAUAUCACAUAGCGAUCAGAAGAGAGACACUGCUUCAUUUUUGUUAGAGGUAUAUCAAUUUAUGUUAGAUACAUGAUAUGGUGUCCUGCAGUUGUAGUUGAUAGUAGUUAUAACAUCUAAUUUUAUAGAAGUCUUGUGACUUGGUAAGCUGUUUAAUGUGGAAAAUUUGUGUAUAAAUUCUGAAUUUCAGGAAAAGACAAUCUUGAAGAAAUUGACUAGCCAACUCCUUAUAUUUUGAUGCUCAGAUUUCUCAAGGCUGCUCAAUUUGACACAAAGGUAUAGGAUCAAGUAAAAUUUGUGAAAUAUUGUACACUUUGUUGGAGAUUAUGACUUGAUACUGUGAAUUUUUCUUUCUAAGACUUUGAGUAUGUUUGUGUAUCUUUAAAUGUAUAUGUAUUUAAAAUACCAGCUGCUAAGUAUGCUUUGGUUUUUCUAAAUUUAGCUACACUGAAUAAGAGGGUGCUUCUAAUUUCUUCUGACAUUUUAAAACAUGACAUUUUUACUUCAGACUUUGAUCUUUGAUAACUAUUAGUAACCUAAAGAUAUCCCUACAUCAUAUAUGCAUACACAGUAUGGAAAAGUAUACAUUUCAAGCACUGGUAAGUAACUUUUCAGUUUCUUAAAUAAGCUUUUCAAUAUUAAUGCGUUGAUGAUGAUUCCUGGAAGUUUGAAAUAGGAUACUUGCACUCUGAUAUGAUUUAUAUGCAAGUAUGAGUAUUUAUGUCUGCUGCAAGUCAGACUCUUUCAUUGUUUGCUUCAUGGAUAUGCAUAUUUAUUAAUUUUGUUUCUUUUACUUUCUAUUAGGCCGUAGAUGUCUAUAAAUCAUAAAUGGGUUAGCACUUUCUAAUUCCUGAUGCUCUUAACGUAUUACAUUAACUUUUGACUUAUGCGUGGUCUAUUUCUACUUAAGGUUGGAUGAUGGAUGGAUCAACAAAUAGUUUGACCAAUUUUAUACAAUCUAACAAUAAGUUUGCUAAAUAAAGAACUAGAAUAUUAGUUAGAUUUUACAUUUCUUACUCUAGUAGAGUUUAUGUAUUGUGCUUUUAUUGCAUAGAGAUGAAGUUUAUAAUCAUUUCAUUGCCAAUAGGAUUGAUUCAGAAUAAGAAAAACAGAAAGAGAAAUACAAGCAAUGAAAUUUAACUGAAAUGAAUGACUGAGUUUCUAGAUCAAGAUUUCUCUCGUGAAAUGCAUAGUGAAAUCCUCUGCUAACAUUCCUUUUCCCCACUUUGACUUUUAUUUACUUUUCAACUAUAAAUAUUGAGUCUGCAUAAUGAUAUUAAUGUUUUAUUUUCUAGAGUGGUUCCUCUUUGAUGACAUAUUAUUAUUUUCUCAAUUAUAUAUUGAACAGAUGUUGGGUUGCUAUAAUUUUAAAAAGUGUGAAUUAUUUGUUUGUAUCUUACCAUGUGUAUUCUAAUAAUGUUGUGUUUCUAUGAUUUUAACAGGAAUAAAGGAUGGAAUUGUCAAUAUGAAGUUAACCAAUAAUUGCAAUGUACGUUGUUGCUUGUGGUGA
rnacentral:lncRNA from 1 species